rnacentral:rRNA from 1 species
CCUACGGGAGGCAGCAGUGAGGAAUCUUGGUCAAUGGACGAGAGUCUGAACCAGCCAAGUAGCGUGAAGGAUGACUGCCCUAUGGGUUGUAAACUUCUUUUAUAUGGGAAUAAAAUGUUCCACGUGUGGGAUUUUGUAUGUACCAUAUGAAUAAGGAUCGGCUAACUCCGUGCCAGCAGCCGCGGUAAUACGGAGGAUCCGAGCGUUAUCCGGAUUUAUUGGGUUUAAAGGGAGCGUAGGUGGAUUGUUAAGUCAGUUGUGAAAGUUUGCGGCUCAACCGUAAAAUUGCAGUUGAAACUGGCAGUCUUGAGUACAGUAGAGGUGGGCGGAAUUCGUGGUGUAGCGGUGGAAUGCUUAGAUAUAACGAAGAACUCCGAUUGCGAAGGCAGCUCACUGGACUGCAACUGACACUGAGGCUCGAAAGUGUGGGUAUCAAACAGGAUUAGAUACCCGAGUAGUC